AUUGAACGCUGGCAGCAUGCUUUACACAUGCAAGUCGAACGGUAACAGGCCGCAAGGUGCUGACGAGUGGCGAACGGGUGAGUAAUGCAUCGGAGCGUGCCCAGUCGUGGGGGAUAACGCAGCGAAAGUUGCGCUAAUACCGCAUACGAUCUAUGGAUGAAAGCGGGGGACCGUAAGGCCUCGCGCGAUUGGACCGGCCGAUGUCAGAUUAGGUAGUUGGUGGGGUAAAGGCUCACCAAGCCGACGAUCUGUAGCUGGUCUGAGAGGACGACCAGCCACACUGGGACUGAGACACGGCCCAGACUCCUACGGGAGGCAGCAGUGGGGAAUUUUGGACAAUGGGCGCAAGCCUGAUCCAGCAAUGCCGCGUGCAGGAAGAAGGCCUUCGGGUUGUAAACUGCUUUUGUACGGAACGAAACGGUCCUGGUUAAUACCCGGGGCUAAUGACGGUACCGUAAGAAUAAGCACCGGCUAACUACGUGCCAGCCGCCGCCGUAAGAC
rnacentral:rRNA from 1 species